ACAAGUACAGUUGUAGCCCCCAUGUGUGUUGGUACAGGUAGCAGUUUCAUGACAGAGGUCUAUUCCUUGGGCGCAUUCGUCGACGUCUGGAGAAAGAGAAGGCAUUUUUAUACUGCCAUUGAAGUCAUCAUCAAGGAUCGAUGAACACCCCAGAAAGGCAGAGAUGAUGUCUGAACAAAAAGACCUUACCUUAUGCCUUAUGUCUUACCUUCUUCACAUCCCUCUGGAAGGUUCCCUGACGAAGGGCAGACCUUACAUUCUGUCUGGGCCUCUUCGUCCUGAUACCAGCCAGGUGGACACGGUAGGCAGGUGUUGUUUUGAUGUGGAUGUCGAAGGUGGGCAGGAGACCGACAUAGUUAACUGCUUCUAGCGACUCCCCUCCUACUUCGAGGUUGAAGUUCCUCGCUGCUACUCUGGCGCGAAUCUCAAAGUACAUGUUGUCCAGUGCUCCGAUG